UUCUGAAAAAGGCAAACCGCGCGAAAGCACGGGACGCAAAGUCACGGUCUACCGAGCGCAAGCUCCAUGACGGCAGGACUGCCAGA
rnacentral:ncRNA from 1 species